GACGUAGGGCGCGAGCGUUGUCCGGAUUUAUUGGGCGUAAAGAGCGUGUAGGCGGCCAGACAGGUCCGUUGUGAAAACUAGAGGCUUAACCUCUAGACGUCGAUGGAAACCGUGCGGCUAGAGUCCGGAAGAGGAGAAUGGAAUUCCUGGUGUAGCGGUGAAAUGCGCAGAUAUCAGGAAGAACACCCGUGGCUAAGGCGGUUCUCUAGUACGGUACUGACGCUGAGACGCGAAAGCGUGGGGAGCGAACAGG
rnacentral:rRNA from 1 species